AGUCAUUAGUCACCCAGGCUUAAAGCUGCCAGUGAGAACAACGCUGAGAUUCUCUGGACCUGGAGCAAGGGAGAAGCCCCAGCUAAUCAUCAAACUUGUCCUAGGAGCCAGUGGAUAUUCCUCUUCUGCUGCAGAUUUUUGUACAGCUUGGUCAGUCUGCAAGAACAUUUUCAUGUUGUGCUGACAUCAGAACAGCCAGUUAAAGGCAGUUUGUUGUGAUCGCACGUGGCCGAUAUCACUGAAUACGCAAAAUUUGGUAGCAGUCACACUACAUGUUUAGGCAGCUCUUCUCAGAGCCUUCAGACACUGCCCUAUGGAAAUGGCGUGCUAUCUGAGGCGUGGCAUGGACUAAAUACCCGUCUGUGGCUGGAGUGCACCAGGUGGGCUCCUGGAGCGUGUUUUCAAGCAUGUGUUUCAUCUGAAAGGCGUUGGGUUCAUCUCUUCCAGAGCUGCUCCGCAAUUCGGAACAAAGCACGGUCAGUGGGAACUACUGGGAGAUUUGCUUUGAAAGUUGGUUCCUGAUCCAAACUAAGUAAUGCUGAUGCACCAAAGUGUUCCAGCUUGGAUCUUAGUGUCAGAGUGGUUUUGGAUCUUCCAUUUAAGAACACUGAUGUCACAACAGUUUCCAAACCUCAACUUUUGAUAACUUCUUCAUAGCCAUAAUCACAUGAGUUCCUUCCCUGUCUUCCACACAGCGGUCCUCUGGUCCCCAGCUGGCAUCGCACUCUCUAAGAGAGAAAAAAGUCUAUUUGAAAGCACGUCUCUGGCCUGGCCAUCAAUGGAAAACAAACACAGACUCUGCAGACCAAGCUAAUUUGUAGAUGUGAUGAAUCAUUACAAAAAGUGAGGGAGGAAAAGAAAAAGAGACGGGAAAUUUUUAAAAAAGUCAACAGAAAGGAAAUGCUUGAACACAGUCUUGAUUCAGCAAAUCCCUUUGGUUUCGUGCUCAACAUCACAGCGAAGCCGUCGGCACCUCGGCUCUGCGUAGGCAGAAGGUAGCUGGGAAGUGACUCACGGGCACAGGAAUACUGAGGGGAAGCCACUGAGCAGCGGGUGUGGGAAAUUUUGCAGGGAAAAGAAAGUCUCUCGGCUCGCAAAAGGCUACAAAGCUCCAUGCCUGUUGAAGGGACAGUUCUGGAUAUUUUCAAGCUAAUAAGAAGCAGCUCCGCGUGCAGUGCUGUGCACAUCUGAGCAGCAGCACCAUUCUAACAGCAGCUGAGAAAGUAGGCAGGGAAAAGGCUACUUUAAGGAGAGCAAUCAGAAAGCUAUACUGAAUUCUACAGGCAAUAAAACUUUUUCCUGUGCUGAGCCA
rnacentral:lncRNA from 1 species